rnacentral:SRP_RNA from 1 species
GGCAGAUCGGGCGCGGCGCGACGGCGCGCGUCUUCCUCGCUGUCGACAUGGAGCUGCACCGCACCUUCGCCGUCAAGCAGAUGCUCACCGGGCCAGGCGCGAGCAGCGCAGAGUCGGCGGCCCUGCGGGAGCUUGAGCGCGAGAUUGCGGUGAUGAAACGGCUCUC